rnacentral:rRNA from 1 species
UGGCUUUACCUGAAGACGGUGCGCUAACCGCAAGGAGGCAGCCGGCCACGGUAGGGUCAGCGACUGGGGUGAAGUCGUAACAAGGUAGCCGUAAGGUGAACCUGCAGAAGGAUCA